rnacentral:lncRNA from 8 species
AUAAUUGUGACAUCAUUACCCAUUAUCCUGUUACUCUUCACGCUGAUUGGACGAUGAGGGGGGGUUCAGAAAAAUCGAAUUAAUUGAGGUAAGGUUAGCCGCAGGAUCGCAAAAAUACAGUGACUGAGGCUCUGAAUCGUAGCACAGAUGUAAGUAUAUUUAGGCUAACUUUUCUAAUAAAAUAAUGUAAAAUAUAAUUCCUCACUUUCGGGAAUUCUAUGCCAUGCACCUGACACGUGAUAAUUAAACGCGCCAACGAUUGUUCUUGUAGCCCACCUGGCCCAGCUACAAUGUAUUCAUGUCAGGAAAAUAAGGUAGUCACAUUUUUCCGGUUUGGUUCAGUUUGAGCUUUGGUUUAGGCUAAGAUUUUAUUUAUAUUUCAUUUGAACGCUAAUGCGGACACUGUAACAUAAUACGUUGGCCUAGUCCUUCAGCAUUACUGUAUUGUGUAAAUUAUCGAUUUUGAAAGUAGACGCCCCUGUCAACUGUGCAGAUGUAAUCUUUUCCGCGGGAGGGCAGCCAAUAUAAUUCCCUGUUGGGUUUAAAUUAACUUUUUCAGUGCCAAAUAGUCCUUUUGAAAAGCCAAUACUCUGUCAAACAGUUAGUAUAAAUCGAGAAAAGUUUUUUUUAAAUCUCUAUGGAUUAGCAGAUGUUGAUUUAUGGCUCUUGGUUGCCCAAAUGUUUGUGCAUCAGAUUUAUUAUAAAGGAUCUUACAAUGCUGCAUCUUUUGAUGGAACACUGGACAGUGAAUGUUGACAUGGGAAACCUACAGGACUGUACCAACAACAAGAACACUUGUGGUCAGACAGCGCAUUCUUUAGUUCUGUUCUCUGCUUACAUUACCUAGAAUCCUCUUCGCCUCUUGUUUGUUAGUCAAGGCAAUGACCUCCACCUGCCAGCCGGAGACAACAGUUGGAGACAUGCCGCAGGUGAGAGUUUUAGCAUGCCCGGAGGUUCCUCCUCUCUUUCUGCCUCACUAUACUGACACAGAGUCAGCCUUCGUCCCUCCCCACUGCUCCUACCACAGCCUGGGACACUGUCUGCGCACCAACAUCUUUCCAGGAGCUCCUCUGGUGUGGAAGUCCUUGGUAAAAGACUCCUACAUCAUUCACCCCUUGCCCGCCCCUCCUACAGACCCCCAGCGUUGGUACGGCCGCAAGACUGAUGACAUGGUGAAAUGGACAGAAAGAAACAUUGUGAACCAGAAGUUGAACAAGGCGCUAAAGGCAAUGGAGAACAAAGGGUCUAAAUGAGGCCAUGGUGCAGUGGCCAUUUCACACCCUCACCGCAGCGGCCAUGCACCUUCCACAUCAUUUACACCUCUUUUUACACAUAUAUCUACAUUCAAGCCCUUACAAAUCCUUUCUGGUACACUUGGUCACGUAUGCAUGCACACACACAACCAUUGCCACAAACUCUCAAAACGUACAAAAACAACCCACGCAAAAACAACAAUUUAUAUGUAGACACAAGUUCAUGAUCUCUCUUUUGCCGCAAUAAAAGCAGAACAGCAUCCUUUACUUUAGUUAUCUGAUGUUCUGUGUAUUGUAGGGCUCAUUUACUUCUGAGGGGAUGUAUUCAUAGCUGUCAUCAAAAAAUUUACUCAUAAUACUGAAACCCAC